AUCCUUUUAUGGUUCAUAAGCAUGAUGAUUGGGUUUACACACGUUUGUGUGACAUGUGCCUUCCUCCAAUAUUGUUAGGAUAUCGGCACACUACUCAUCUGACA
ensembl:snoRNA